rnacentral:rRNA from 1 species
AGAGUUUGAUCCUGGCUCAGCCUGAACGCUGGCGGCGUGGCUAAGACAUGCAAGUCGUACGGUGUAGCAAUACACAGUGGCGAACGGGUGAGUAAUGAAUCGCUAACGUGCCCCGGACUCCGGGAUAGCUAUCCGAAAGGGUAGGUAAUACCGGGUAACAUAACCUUGUCGCAUGGCAGGGUUCUCAAAGGUCCGCCGGUCUGGGAGCGGGCGAUUUCGUAUCAGCUAGUUGGUGGGGUAACGGCCCACCAAGGCGACGACGCGUAGCCGGACUGAGAGGUUGGCCGGCCACAUUGGGACUGAGACACUGCCCAGACUCCUACGGGGGGCUGCAGUAACGAAUCUUCCGCAAUGCACGAAAGUGUGACGGAGCGACGCCGCGUGUGGGACGAAGUUCUUCGGAAUGUAAACCACUGUCAGGGGAAAGAAAGUUCUGAUCUACCCCAGAGGAAGAGGCGGCUAACUCUGUGCCAGCAGCCGCGGUAAUACAGAGGCCUCGAGCGUUAGGCGGAAUCACUGGGCUUAAAGCGUGUGUAGGCGGACUUCUAAGUACCUUGUGAAAUCCCACGGCUUACCCGUGGAACGGCUGGGUAUACUGGGAGUCUUGAGCCAUCUAGGGGCUGCCGGAACAAAUGGUGGAGCGGUGAAAUGCGUAGAUAUCAUUUGGAACGCCAAUGGUGAAAACAGGCAGCUGGGGAUGUGCUGACGCUGAGACACGAAAGCCAGGGGAGCGAACGGGAUUAGAUACCCCGGUAGUCC